AGAGUUUGAUCCUGGCUCAGGACGAACGCUGGCGGCGUGCUUAACACAUGCAAGUCGAGCGAUGAAACUACUUCGGUAGUGAAUUAGCGGCGAACGGGUGAGGAACACGUGAGGAAUCUGCCUUCUACACUGGGAUAACUCCGGGAAACCGGGGCUAAUACCGGAUAUGAAACUUGGUGGCAUCACCGAGUUUGGAAAGUUUUUCGGUAGAAGAUGACCUCGCGGCCUAUCAGCUUGUUGGUGAGGUAAUGGCUCACCAAGGCGACGACGGGUAGCCGGCCUGAGAGGGCGACCGGCCACACUGGGACUGAGACACGGCCCAGACUCCUACGGGAGGCAGCAGUGGGGAAUAUUGGGCAAUGGAGGAAACUCUGACCCAGCGACGCCGCGUGCGGGAUGAAGGCCUUCGGGUUGUAAACCGCUUUCAGUAGGGAAGAAGCGAAAGUGACGGUACCUACAGAAGAAGCACCGGCUAACUAUGUGCCAGCAGCCGCGGUAAUACAUAGGGUGCAAGCGUUGUCCGGAAUUAUUGGGCGUAAAGAGCUCGUAGGUGGUUCGUUACGUCGGAUGUGAAAAUCUGGGGCUCAACCCCAGACCUGCAUCCGAUACGGUCGAGCUAGAGUUUGGUAGGGGAGACUGGAAUUCCUGGUGUAGCGGUGGAAUGCGCAGAUAUCAGGAGGAACACCAAUGGCGAAGGCAGGUCUCUGGGCCAAUACUGACACUGAGGAGCGAAAGCGUGGGGAGCGAACAGGAUUAGAUACCCUGGUAGUCCACGCCGUAAACGGUGGGCGCUAGUUGUGGGAACCUUCCACGGUUUCUGCGACGCAGCUAACGCAUUAAGCGCCCCGCCUGGGGAGUACGAUCGCAAGAUUAAAACUCAAAGGAAUUGACGGGGCCCCGCACAAGCAGCGGAGCAUGCGGC
rnacentral:rRNA from 1 species